rnacentral:tRNA from 1 species
AUCUCCAUUGUUUAUUUUGUGUCUAUUUCUGUCUGCCAUUUUAGUUUGGUGGUUUUCUAUGAUGUUUUUCUUAGUUUCCUCUUUCGUUAUUUUUCGUGUCUCUGAUAUAGAAUUAUAUGGUAUGGUUACCAUGAGGUUUGUAUACAUUUCUCAUAAAGUGGUUCUUUUCCUGCUGAUCGUCUCUCCAUUUGCCUAUAUGACUUCUGUCCUUUUCCUUUUCAGCAAUGUUUUUGUGGUCCCAAAUUAUCCCUUUUUAUGUUGUAAGCAGGUUACCAAAUUGAAGUCGCUUUAUUUUUACUGCUUUUUCCCCUUUAACCUUUAUGUUGUAAUUAAGUGUUUAACAACCUAUUCUAAUACAGAGUUACAGUUUUCUAAUUCUGUCUAUCACCUUACUCAAAAGUUUUGUGUACUUUUGCCUUUUCAUUUCAGAAGGAAGUUGUCCUUUCACCAUUUCUGGUAAGGCAGGCCUAGUGGUCAUGAACUCCCUCAGCUUUCGUUUGUCUGGAAAAGCCUUUAUUUCUCCUUCGUAUCUAAGGAUAACUUUGCUGGGUAUUCUUGGCUCACAGUUUUUAUCUUUCAAUAUUUUGAGUAUGUCAUUCCGCUCACUCCUGUCCUGUAGUGUUUCUACUGAGAAAUCUGGUAGUCUAAUGGGGGUUCCUUUGUAGGUUGCUCUUUUUUUUUCCCUUGGCUGUCUUUAAAAUUCUUCCUUUGCCACUGACUUUUGACAGUUUAAUAUGAUGUAUCUGAGAGAAGGUCUUUUUGUUUUGAGGUAAUUAGGUGUUCUCUUAGCUUCAUGGACUUACACAUCCAGUUCAUUCACCAGGUUUGGGAAGUUCUCGGCUAUUAUUUCUUUAAAUAAACUCUCUUUUCCCUUCUCCCUCUCUUCUGGGAUACCCAUUAUUCUUAUGUUGCUCUUCCUAGUAGAGCCUGAUAGUUCUUGUAGAAUUUCUUCUUCUUUUUUUAGAUCUUAUUCUUUCCUUUUCUACCUGUGUCAUUUCUAGAUUUCUGUCUUCAAGCUCACUUGAAGAGAUUUCUCUCUUCCAUACCACCUGCUUUAUUUCCAAUGCUUUCUACAGUUCCAGAAGUUAGUUUCUUUUUUUACAGUUUCAAUUUGUUUGAUGAAGUAUUCUUUCUGUUCAUUAAUUUUAUUCCUGAACUCUUUGAAAUGCCUUUCUGAAUUUUCUUGUAGCUCAUUGUAUUUCUUCACGACAGCCAGUCUGAAUUCUCUGUCAGUUAGAUUGCAAUAUUCUGUGAUUUUAAGUUUGGUAUUUGGAAAAUUGUCAUUUUCUUUUUGUGAUACCAUGGUGUUUCAUGGUGCUUGAUGAAUUUUUCCUCUGCUGGUGCAUUUGAAGUAGUGAAUACUUUUAAAGCUUUUUUUUACUUGAUUCUAACAAUUCAACAGGUUAGUAGUUGGAGGCCUUUUCUUUUGUUUUCCAAUAGGUGGUGCUGUAGCACAAGUUUUUGGUUUCUCUUACCCGAACUGCCUCUGGUUAUGUUUGAGAAUCAACGCUUUCCACCCUCCACUACCUCUGCUGGGGGUGUCACCUGGUGCCCUCCUUGUUGCUGCUUGUGCCUCCUGAGUCACUGGUGCCUUUGCUGCUGCCGCUGCCACUGCUGUUGGUGGUGUUGCUCCCUGAGGCACUGGGAGGGCAGGCACCUCUGACACGCCCAGGGUUGCCUGGGUCGUGGGCUGUGCCACCACAGGAGGAGGUGGGGGAAAGCCAGGAUCCUGGGUGCCUCUGCUUCAUCUGGGGUUAUUGGGUGACACUGCUGUGGGCGAUGAGGGGAUGGGGGCAGACUCACGGGUGUAUCUGUAGCUGGAGGUUUGGGGACGCAGGCCCCUGUGCCACUGCUGCCAGUUUCACCCUGACCGCAGGCACUGCUGUAGGUAGGACGCUGGAGUCUCGUGCACUGCCUCCCCUACUGCUACUUGUGUUCUCCUGGGCUCAGCUGCUGCAGCCAGGGGUGCUAAAAUCAUAGGCACCUCCUCUGGGGGGCGUAGUCCACUCACCUUUAGAUGUACAGAUGUAUGGAAUUCUCUGGUGUUCUGGUUUAAUGAGCAGAGGAACCUCUGUUGCUAUGGAUGUUUUACUGGAUGUAGAUUGAAAGGGAGUGUCUCAUGCCGCCAUGAUGUUGACGUCACUCCCAGCUUAUGUCUACUUGAAUUUCAUAAAUUAAGAGGACUUAAUUGGUUAUCUUUGUGUAUUUUUAGUACUGGUAUAAUACCUUGAAAAGAUUGCAGUAAGUGUCAUAAAUGUCAUUCUUUGUAGAAGUUGAGGGCUUAUUUAAGUUUCGUUGUAUUUCUUCCUUUUCUCUAUAUGUUCUCCCCUAAAUCACCCAAAAUACCUAAUUUCCUUUUUAAAGGUAACUCAGAAUUGUCAGCAGUUCAUUCAAAAUUUAUCUUAAACAUCAAUAGUUUUUAAAAAUACUUAGUUUCUUUGUUAUUAAAGUUAAGAAAUGAUGGAAUUCCCUGGCGGUCCAGUGGUUAGGAUAAUAGGGUUACUUUCAACUGACCAUACUUUCCUAGUCUCCAGAUUAAUAUUUUGUUGAAUUCUUACAAAAUGUUUAUUUUGUGCUAUUUAAAUUGCUAUUAUAUGCCCAGUUCUACUGUUUGGCUUUUACUCAAGACAUUCAUAUAGCUAUUUCUUAUUCUUUUUUAUUGCCAGGGGUGAUGUACUGUAAAUCGUUUAACCAUCCCUGCUUGUUGACCCUGAGAUUGUUUACAGGUUUUGUGUCAUGUAAUUAAUACAGUAGCAUCCUUGAAAAUAUACUUGUAGAGAGAUGUCUACACUGCAGUUUCCUGUAAGGGACUACUAGCUGACUUAAAGAGUUUGUGAGUUGUGUCUCUUACAAGUUUUGGUAUUGCCAAAAUAUUUUCCUAAACACGUGGUGCCAACAUAAAACUCCCAUCAACUGGUUGUGAAUGCUCUUUUCCCCUGUACUGCACCAAUACUUAAGUACUAUCAAUCUUUAAAAUUUUAGUCAGUCUAAAGUGGAAAAGUGGGUUAAGAGUAUGAAUUGCCUGGAUUUAACGCUCAGUUCAGCUGAAAAUUGACUUGGUGGUUUGGGGGAAGUUAAACUCUCUGUACCUGCUUUUUUAUUUAUAAAAUGGCAUGCUGUUAAUCACUUUCCUGAUAGGAUUUGUUGUAAGGUGAAAAUGAGAUGACGUGUAGUCGUUGUUUUGCAUGUUUGUGGUUUGAAGAGUGCAAUCUUCCCCCCACCCCCUGCCUCUUCCUGGCUUGCGGGAUCUUAGUUCCCUGACCAGGGAUCGAACCCGGGACCACGGCAGUGAAGGCACCGAAUCCUAACCACUGGGCCACCAGGGAAGUCCUUGAAGAGUACAAUCUUAAUCCUUCUGUCUUCUUAUGAUCCCUUCAGACCCACUGUGGAUGUGGUCUUUUCUUGUCAUUGGAAGAAAUCUCAUGCGGGUUCCGUUCGUUUUUCUGAUUAUGCUUGGGUAAUAAAAAGCUCCCCAAUCUCAUGUAGUCAUAAAAAUAAUCUCAUUUUAACAUUUUAUUAAUUUCAUUAAGUAUUUAUCUCUUAAUCAAUUUAAAUUGUACUAUUAGAUGAAUUUUGACAGAUGCUCACAACCAUGAAAUCGCCAACACAAUCAAGAUACAGAACACGCCCACCACCUCCCAUAAGUUUCCUCCUGCGGGGUUGCAGUUCAUCCUUUCCUCCAGCCCCAGACACUGGCAACCGCUGUUCUGUAUUCUCUUUUAAUGUAUUGAUAAGAUUGGUUUGCAUUUUCUACGAUUUUAUAUAAAUGGAAUCAUACAUACAUG